rnacentral:rRNA from 1 species
UGGGGAAUAUUGGACAAUGGGCGAAAGCCUGAUCCAGCAAUGCCGCGUGAGUGAUGAAGGCCUUAGGGUCGUAAAGCUCUUUUACCCGGGAUGAUAAUGACAGUACCGGGAGAAUAAGCUCCGGCUAACUCCGUGCCAGCAGCCGCGGUAAUACGGAGGGAGCUAGCGUUGUUCGGAAUUACUGGGCGUAAAGCGCGCGUAGGCGGCGAAUCAAGUCAGGGGUGAAAUCCCGGGGCUCAACCCCGGAACUGCCCUUGAAACUAGCUCGCUAGAAUCUUGGAGAGGUCAGUGGAAUUCCGAGUGUAGAGGUGAAAUUCGUAGAUAUUCGGAAGAACACCAGUGGCGAAGGCGACUGACUGGACAAGUAUUGACGCUGAGGCGCGAAAGCGUGGGGAGCAAA